AAGUACUUGAGGUUACCUUUUGGGUGAUUUGAUUCCAAAGGGGGAGAAUUGUGGAAUCAAAGCAAGAUCCUAUGAGAGCCUAUGUGUAAAACAUAGGGGGAGAAAUGUGCAUACAUUGGGGGAGAAUCAACAAAGAGGGAGAAUUACUUCAAGGGGGAGUCAAGUGAAGAUGAACAAGGGGGAGGUUGGAUCAUGGUAAGCAACCAAGCAAGUGUAAGUGGUUCAAUUAGUCAAUUUUUUCAAAUUUAUGCUUCCUUUGAUUGUGUUGUCAUAAAUCACCAAAAAGGGGGAGAUUGUAGCGAACAUGGCCUUGAUAAGCCAUUUGUUCAUGAUUUUGGUGAUUCAACGAGAACAUGAUCUUUGGUACUGACAAAGUGUUUGAGAACAUGCCUUAAAGGUAGUCUAGGUCCUAAGGAAGCUACCACAAUCAAAGACAACCAAAGACAAGCAAUGAACCGAAGAAAUCAAAGAAAACAACACCAUCGGAUGGUCCCUAGGAAGGUGUCGGAGUAAGCGUCGGUGUAAUUGGUAUGCUGUGGAGAAGACCAGGCAAAGUCAACCAUAGGACGAAUUCUGAAUGACAGGCUUAGAAGAUGGAGAAAACCCAAUAGUACCGGAUGAUCCGAUGGUAUGCAUAAGAGGAGUGUCAGACAAAACAUAUUUACUUUGAAAUCGUCCA
rnacentral:lncRNA from 1 species